GACGAACGCUGGCGGCGUGCUUAACACAUGCAAGUCGAACGGAAAGGCCCUGCUUUUGUGGGGUGCUCGAGUGGCGAACGGAUGAGUAACACGUGAGUAACCUGCCCUUGACUUUGGGAUAACUUCAGGAAACUGGGGCUAAUACCGGAUAGGAGCUCCUGCUGCAUGGUGGGGGUUGGAAAGUUUCGGCGGUUGGGGAUGGACUCGCGGCUUAUCAGCUUGUUGGUGGGGUAGUGGCUUACCAAGGCUUUGACGGGUAGCCGGCCUGAGAGGGUGACCGGCCACAUUGGGACUGAGAUACGGCCCAGACUCCUACGGGAGGCAGCAGUGGGGAAUAUUGCACAAUGGGCGGAAGCCUGAUGCAGCAACGCCGCGUGCGGGAUGACGGCCUUCGGGUUGUAAACCGCUUUCGCCUGUGACGAAGCGUGAGUGACGGUAAUGGGUAAAGAAGCACCGGCGAACUACG
rnacentral:rRNA from 1 species